UUUUUUAAGUUAAAUUAUUAUUUUUGCUAGUAAACUUAAUUCUGUUUUAUAUAUAGGUCUUUAGUUUUUAUAAGUUAUAUUUUUAAUAAUAAACAAAAAAAAACGAAAAUGUGGAAUAAACUAUCAGAUUUAGAACAUCAAAAUGCAAUGCAAGAUAAAGGUAGCAUUUAGAAAAACGAACAAAUUAUGUAGAUACAAAGAAUUAAAAAAAAAUACGUAUAUAAAAAAAAAGUAAAGACAUAAAAAUACAAAAAAAUGGAUAAAUUAUAUACGUACGAAACAAUAAAAUAAAUAUGUAAAACUAAGAUAUAUAUAUUUAUUUAUGUGUGGAAAUGCAAUUAACAAGUUCAUUAUAAAAGUUUGCAACGAAAAUCGACAAAAAUCGUGCUCUAUAUGUACAAAUGUAUAAAUACAUAUAAAUAAAUAUGUAUAUACAUAUGUGCAUGUAUAAUUAAUAUUUUUAUUAUUAAAUGAAUUUCAUUAUUACAUUUUUGCUUUUAAAUUGUGUAGGUACCUUGACGAACAAAUCUGUGCGUUUUGCAAAAAAAUAUAUUACUUUUAUAAUUACAUUUAUAUUAGUUGUUUUUGGAUUCUUCUAUGCUUUGACAUAUUAUUACCAAAAUGAUAACUCAAAUGAUUAUGAAUUAAAUUGUGAUGAUUUAAAAGGAAAAUGCCAGAAUUAUGAAUAUCCAAGUUUUAUAGAGAGUAGGCUCCAAAUUGUUGACUUCAAUGAUAAUAACCACAACGUAAUAUUAAGAAGUAGUGUACCCUUGUUUGAUGGUGUAUAUUCGGAGGGAUUAUUACGAGAAAGUAUUAAAAAAUUAAUGGAAGCAUCAAAGAUGAAUUAUGAUGAAAAUUCGGAUCUUUAUAUUAUAUCCUUUUUAAGAAAUACUGAUAGCGAAGGGUGUUGUUAUACUGCAGAAAAGUGUACCGUAGAAUUUGCAACUGUCGUUAACCACGUCAUUUUGGGGCACGAAGUGGACCCAUAUGAUAUGGAUGAAAAGACUCUUUAUAAAGAACUAACAAGUUUAAAUUGGGACACUGACAAGUUAAUAUAUAAUAUAAAUGACAUUAAAAAAAAAUUUGAUACAUUUAACAACACCAUAUUUCUAAUUCAUUGUAAAAGAGGUAUACACAGGACUGGUGAGUUUGUUGCGGCAUAUAAAAUGAUAGCAAACAACGAAUAUUUUCAUACAACAGUUGCAGAUAAUGAAAAAAUAGGAAAACCACAAUCGAAGAAUAUUAGAAUGUUAAAAUGGUUAUGUUUAUAUUUAGAAAAAAUCACAAAUAAUGAGAGUAUAGGAUGUUAUGACUAUAGAUAAAAAGUAUAUAUAUGAAAAGCAAGGAAAUGUUAUUUUUGUAUAUGUACAUGCACUAUAUAUUGUUAAGUGUUAUUAUUAAUAAUUUGUACUUAUUAAAUCUUGCGUUAUUGUAUAUAUAUAUAUAUAUAUAUAUAUAUAUAUAUGUAUGUAUGUAUGUAAAUGUAAAUUAAUUUUUAUUUUAUUCUAAUUUUUUUUUAUUAUUAUUUAAAGAGAUAUAUAAAAACAAGAAUUUUAUUGUUAUUAUGCAAUUUUGUUUUUUUUAAAUUGAACUUUUCAAGGAAAAUAAGAUAACACAUAGAAAUGCAUAUAUCAAAACAUUUUUUUGUAUAACAUAUAUAUAUAUAUAUAUAUAUAUAUAUAUAUAUAUAUAUUUGCAUGUUUAUCAAAUUUUGAUUUUUUAUGAUUCCUUUUUUUUUACAACUUUAAAAAAUAAUUGUACAUAUUUUAUAAAAGUCGAGUGUAUAUAUACAUAUAUUUUUUUUUUUAUAAAAUGUUAUGAAAAACGCUGUGUAUUACGACGUAGAGUUAAUAAUUAUAUGAAACAUACUUAUGCAAAGCAAUUGAAAAAAUUAUUUUUAUAGCAUUAUAUAUAUUAUAUUUUCUUUAACUUAAUAAAAAAUUACUGGUUUUUUCCCA
rnacentral:lncRNA from 1 species